GACGAACGCUGGCGGCGUGCCUAAUACAUGCGAGUUGAGCGCUGAAGGUUGGUACUUGUACCAACUGGAUGAGCAGCGAACGGGUGAGUAACGCGUGGGGAAUCUGCCUUUGAGCGGGGGACAACAUUUGGAAACGAAUGCUAAUACCGCAUAAAAACUUUAAACACAAGUUUUAAGUUUGAAAGAUGCAAUUGCAUCACUCAAAGAUGAUCCCGCGUUGUAUUAGCUAGUUGGUGAGGUAAAGGCUCACCAAGGCGAUGAUACAUAGCCGACCUGAGAGGGUGAUCGGCCACAUUGGGACUGAGACACGGCCCAAACUCCUACGGGAGGCAGCAGUAGGGAAUCUUCGGCAAUGGACGAAAGUCUGACCGAGCAACGCCGCGUGAGUGAAGAAGGUUUUCGGAUCGUAAAACUCUGUUGGUAGAGAAGAACGUUGGUGAGAGUGGAAAGCUCAUCAAGUGACGGUAACUACCCAGAAAGGGACGGCUAACUACGUG
rnacentral:rRNA from 1 species